rnacentral:rRNA from 1 species
UACGUAGGGGGCAAACGUUGCUCGGAAUUACUGGGCGUAAAGGGUGAGUAGGCGGCUUGGCAAGUCAUGGAUGAAAUCCCGCAGCUCAACUGCGGAACGGUCCCUGAAACUGCCAGGCUUGAGGAUAGUUGAAGAGAAUGGAAUUCCCGGUGGAGCGGUGAAAUGCGUAGAUAUCGGGAGGAACACCAGAGGCGUAGGCGAUUCUCUAAGCUACUCCUGACGCUGAAUCACGAAAGCUAGGGGAGCGAACGGG